AAAAAAAAAAAAAAGGCUUUCUAUUCAUCCGGAAGUCCCACAUACCCACAAACAAAUGAGUUGAGGACCCCGAAAAAUAACCACUUAACAAAAGCAGAAACAUAGAGGUCAUCUGCAGAAUGUGCACCUGCAAACAGUGCAUAUUCACAUAGAACCAACUCUAGACCUACAAAUGCGGAUAAAAGAAAACCUGAAAGCUCUCCAGUUCUUUAAUCGUCCAUCAGCCAAGCUAUAGCCCCCAAUCCAAUUAGCAAACAAUUAUCGCCGACAGAAGAUGCGAGGAUUAUGUUUUUAAAUUCUGUUCACUAGCUAAACAAACUGUCCUGAAUCCUAUUCAGCAACUUGUUAUCAAUCAAAGACAUUGAUUUGAUUAUGACUGAUAUGAUCUUAUAUGAGUUUAGAGAUGGUCCAUGUCUAUG
rnacentral:misc_RNA from 1 species